AUACAGAGGGUGCAAGCGUUAAUCGGAUUUACUGGGCGUAAAGCGCGCGUAGGUGGCUAAUUAAGUCAAAUGUGAAAUCCCCGAGCUUAACUUGGGAAUUGCAUUCGAUACUGGUUAGCUAGAGUAUGGGAGAGGAUGGUAGAAUUCCAGGUGUAGCGGUGAAAUGCGUAGAGAUCUGGAGGAAUACCGAUGGCGAAGGCAGCCAUCUGGCCUAAUACUGACACUGAUGUGCGAAAGCAUGGGGAGCAAACAGGAUUAGAUACCCUGGUAGUCCAUGCCGUAAACGAUGUCUACUAGCCGUUGGGGCCCUUGAGGCUUUAGUGGCGCAGCUAACACGAUAAGUAGACCGCCUGGGGAGUACGGUCGCAAGACUAAAACUCAAAUGAAUUGGCGGGG
rnacentral:rRNA from 1 species